CCUACGGGGGACUGCAGUGAGGAAUAUUGGUCAAUGGACGAGAGUCUGAACCAGCCAAGUAGCGUGAAGGAUGACUGCCCUAUGGGUUGUAAACUUCUUUUAUAUGGGAAUAAAAUGUUCCACGUGUGGGAUUUUGUAUGUACCAUAUGAAUAAGGAUCGGCUAACUCCGUGCCAGCAGCCGCGGUAAUACGGAUGAUCCGAGCGUUAUCCGGAUUUAUUGGGUUUAAAGGGAGCGUAGGUGGAUUGUUAAGUCAGUUGUGAAAGUUUGCGGCUCAACCGUAAAAUUGCAGUUGAAACUGGCAGUCUUGAGUACAGUAGAGGUGGGCGGAAUUCGUGGUGUAGCGGUGAAAUGCUUAGAUAUCACGAAGAACUCCGAUUGCGAAGGCAGUUCACUGGACUGCAACUGACACUGAGGCUCGAAAGUGUGGGUAUCAAACAGGAUUAGAUACCCGAGUAGUC
rnacentral:rRNA from 1 species